rnacentral:rRNA from 1 species
CACGUAGGGCGCAAGCGUUUGUCCGGAAUUAUUGGGCGUAAAGAGCUCGUAGGCGGUCUGUUGCGUCCGCUGUGAAAACUCGGGGCUUAACCCCGAGCCUGCAGUGGAUACGGGCAGACUAGAGGUAGGUAGGGGAGAGUGGAAUUCCUGGUGUAGCGGUGAAAUGCGCAGAUAUCAGGAAGAACACCCGUGGCUAAGGCGGCUCUCUAGUACGGUACUGACGCUGAGACGCGAAAGCGUGGGGAGCGAACAGG